GCUUGACUGCGAGCGUGACGGCGCGAGCAGGUGCGAAAGCAGGUCAUAGUGAUCCGGUGGUUCUGAAUGGAAGGGCCAUCGCUCAACGGAUAAAAGGUACUCCGGGGAUAACAGGCUGAUACCGCCCAAGAGUUCAUAUCGACGGCGGUGUUUGGCACCUCGAUGUCGGCUCAUCACAUCCUGGGGCUGAAGUAGGUCCCAAGGGUAUGGCUGUUCGCCAUUUAAAGUGGUACGCGAGCUGGGUUUAGAACGUCGUGAGACAGUUCGGUCCCUAUCUGCCGUGGGCGCUGGAGAACUGAGGGGGGCUGCUCCUAGUACGAGAGGACCGGAGUGGACGCAUCACUGGUGUUCGGGUUGUCAUGCCAAUGGCACUGCCCGGUAGCUAAAUGCGGAAGAGAUAAGUGCUGAAAGCAUCUAAGCACGAAACUUGCCCCGAGAUGAGUUCUCCCUGACCCUUUAAGGGUCCUGAAGGAACGUUGAAGACGACGACGUUGAUAGGCCGGGUGUGUAAGCGCAGCGAUGCGUUGAGCUAACCGGUACUAAUGAACCGUGAGGCUUAACCUUACAACGCCGAAGGUGUUU
rnacentral:rRNA from 1 species